GCACUCCACCUAUUUUUUCCUCAUCUCUUAGACUUUCACUUUACAAACCCUAAAAAACAAACUUACAGCUCUCUCUCCUAUCGGCCACCACCAAGAUCCUCCAUCAGUUCCACAAGAUCACAAGAUGUUGACGUUGAUGCUCCUCCUGAAAUUCUCAUCAAUCAAAAACCCUCUCAAAUUUUGCACAAUUUUCUUCCGAUUUUAUCUAUCCAGCUGAUAUUUUGGCUUUGUCGUCAUUCCGAUUUAAGGUUAUCAAUCCUUUGAUGUUGUUUGAAGACAAUCAUGAUAAUCAGGCUUAUAUGUGAAUCCAUGGAAAUCUCUUAUUGAUUCGGAAUAAAAAUGAACCAACAGCUGCAAAUCCGGAUCUGGGUUCAAAGUAUUUUGUUAUUAAUUUAUGGGUUUGGGUUUUUAUUUUCAAUCUAGAUGGAGGUAAAUAGAGGAAUAUCAAAAAUUCUUUGUUUUUUCAUGACCAGUUACAAGAUUAGUCGGCCUCAAAUUGUAUAAUGUUUAUUACUUAUCCAUAUUACAUGUGUUGUAUGUAACCAAUUAGGGUUCUGAUUAUCAUCUUCUCAUUGUGGCUACAAUUAAGAUUGGGGUUUUUUAGUCUUUUGCAACAAUCGUUGCAACGAACUUCGAAGUUACUAACCUCAAUCAAAGGUUUUUUUAAUCCUCUGUUUUAUUACGUGAUUAAGUUUUUUUGAUUUCUUUGUUUGUGAAUAGGGUUGUAUUGUUAUUGUUAACAAAUUUAGCUAGAAGGUUGUAGAAUUCAAGAUCUCUUAAAAAGAAGCUUUUGAUUUUACAAGGAUUGCAAUU
rnacentral:lncRNA from 1 species